rnacentral:rRNA from 1 species
UACGAAGGGGGCUAGCGUUGCUCGGAAUCACUGGGCGUAAAGCGCACGUAGGCGGAUCGUUAAGUCGGAGGUGAAAUCCUGGAGCUCAACUCCAGAACUGCCUUCGAUACUGGCGAUCUUGGAGUCCGGGAGAGGUGAGUGGAACUGCGAGUGUAGAGGUGAAAUUCGUAGAUAUUCGCAAGAACACCAGUGGCGAAGGCGGCUCACUGGCCCGAUACUGACGCUGAGGUGCGAAAGCGUGGGGAGCAAACAGG